GACGAACGCUGGCGGCGUGCCUAAUACAUGCAAGUCGAACGCAGUGGGGACGGGUGAGUAACACGUGGGUAACCUCCCAUCAGAGGGGAUAACACUUGGCAAAAGGUGCUAAACCGAUACUGCUGGAUGAACCCGCGGUGCAUUAGCUUGUGGGUGGGGUAACGGCCCACCAAGGCCACGAUGCAUACCUGGCCUGAGAUGUUGACCGGCCACACUGGUACUGAGACACGGCCCAGACGCCUACGGGAGGCAGCAGUAGGGAAUCUUCCGCAAUGGGCGAAAGUCUGACGGAGCAAAGCCGCGUGAGUGAAGAAGGUUUUCGGAGCGUAAAACUCUGUUGUUAGAGAAGCGGUAUCUAACCAGAAAGCAACGGCUAACUACGUGCCAGCAGCCGCGGUAAUUC
rnacentral:rRNA from 1 species